AAAACCUAACUUUUAUCGUUUUUCUUUAUCUUUUUAUUUUACGUUUAAACAAUAUUGGUAUUAAUUGCCUCGCCGAAAAAGAA
rnacentral:sRNA from 1 species